UGAGGAAUUUUCCACAAUGGGGGCAACCCUGAUGGAGCAACGCCGCGUGCAGGAAGACGCUUUUCGGAGUGUAAACUGCUUUUCCCAGGGACGAGCAAGGACGGUACCUGGGGAACAAGCCCCGGCUAACUACGUGCCAGCAGCCGCGGUAAUACGUAGGGGACGAGCGUUGUCCGGAGUUACUGGGCGUAAAGGGCCCGCAGGCGGUCCACCACGUUUGCGCUGACAGCUCCUGGCUUAACUGGGAGAGCGGUGCGAAGACGGGUGGACUUGAGGACCAGAGAGGGACAAGGAACUCCGGGUGUAGUGGUGAAAUGCGUAGAUAUCCGGAAGAACACCAAAGGCGAAGGCAGUGUCCUGGCUAGUAGCUGACGCUGAGGGGCGAAAGCUAGGGGAGCGAAC
rnacentral:rRNA from 1 species